UACGUAGGGUGCAAGCGUUGUCCGGAAUUAUUGGGCGUAAAGAGCUCGUAGGCGGUUUGUCGCGUCGGCUGUGAAAACUCGGGGCUCAACCCUGAGCCUGCAGUCGAUACGGGCAGACUAGAGUGCGGUAGGGGAGACUGGAAUUCCUGGUGUAGCGGUGAAAUGCGCAGAUAUCAGGAGGAACACCGGUGGCGAAGGCGGGUCUCUGGGCCGUAACUGACGCUGAGGAGCGAAAGCGUGGGGAGCAAACAGG
rnacentral:rRNA from 1 species